CUCUUCGGAGGUCAGCGGCGGACGGGUGAGUAACACGUGGGCAACCUGCCUGUAAGACUGGGAUAACUCCGGGAAACCGGAGCUAAUACCGGAUACUAUGUCAAACCGCAUGGUUUGACAUUCAAAGACGGUUUCGGCUGUCACUUACAGAUGGGCCCGCGGCGCAUUAGCUAGUUGGUGAGGUAAUGGCUCACCAAGGCGACGAUGCGUAGCCGACCUGAGAGGGUGAUCGGCCACACUGGGACUGAGACACGGCCCAGACUCCUACGGGAGGCAGCAGUAGGGAAUCUUCCGCAAUGGACGAAAGUCUGACGGAGCAACGCCGCGUGAGUGAUGAAGGUUUUCGGAUCGUAAAACUCUGUUGUCAGGGAAGAACAAGUGCCGGAGUAACUGCCGGCACCUUGACGGUACCUGACCAGAAAGCCACGGCUAACUACGUGCCAGCAGCCGCGGUAAUACGUAGGUGGCAAGCGUUGUCCGGAAUUAUUGGGCGUAAAGCGCGCGCAGGCGGUUUCUUAAGUCUGAUGUGAAAGCCCCCGGCUCAACCGGGGAGGGUCAUUGGAAACUGGGAAACUUGAGUGCAGAAGAGGAGAGUGGAAUUCCACGUGUAGCGGU
rnacentral:rRNA from 1 species